rnacentral:rRNA from 1 species
CACCGCGGUUAUACGAGCGGCCCAAGUUGACAUUACACGGCGUAAAGAGUGAUUAGAAGACCUACAAACUAAAGCCAAACCCUUCCCCCAAGCUGUUAUACGCUCACGGAUAGACGAAGAUUUACAACGAAAGUAGCUUUAACAAAUUUGAACUCACGAAAGUCGAGGGA